UUGAAUAGAAAAUGGACAGACAACAACGAAUGUUAUGAAUGUCUUGGUACCAAGGGAUGUUCCCGGCAACAAGUAUAUAUACAUUUGAUAGACAAACGGUUACUAGGUGGUUUGGUUUUGGCGGGAGUAACCGUCAAGUUUGAACCGUUUAACCAACCGUCACAACCGCUGGCCUACAUCGUUACAUACAUACAAAAAUAUACUGAAACAAUAAUAAUAAUGUAUAAUACAAAUAACUAUUGAAAUAUAAUUAUGUUUAUAUCUAUAUAUAUAACUAAUACUCUCCCCUAAACAUAAUUAUGUUUACGGGAGUUCUUGAUGACGAUGUAGUUAGCUUCAGUUAUAGCCUUCUUCGCCCUUGAGAAAUCGAACUUUUUCCUUUGUUUCAGUUUCUUGAGUCCAUGCCAAUCACCACCACCAUAGAAUGCAUAAUGAUCUUCAGCUUUGAAUUGUUUCCGACUGUUCUUGUAACCCACAGACUGUACCUGCUUGAUUUGUAAAUAAGGCAUAAUGUUUCACUUCCUUCUCCACUGCUCCGGUACUACUUGAACAUUCAGCAGUCUCCGUUUGACCUGCAUCAGUUAUAAUUUCCUUAUCUCCUUCGCUCAUGCUCUGUUUGGGAUCCACCGUCUUUUCUUCCUCUUUUCCGAUUGCCUUUUCCUGUGUUACCUUGAACUUGUAGUAGUGUACAAGUACGUCCAGAUACAUAGCGUAUAUCAGACGCAUGUAUUCACCAUCUUCAUACUCGAAUCCUGUAUCCUUUGCUAUCAUCACCCACAUACCAUUCUCAGUGAUUCGCCGGUGACCCCCUUCUCUCUUCACCGCCAUAUACAGGUCUAAUAAUCCCACUUUCCGAUUGUUUGUUGCAUAUGCAGGCAACGGUCUUGAGUGAAUUUCCAGUUUUUCUUUAAUAAACCAUUCUAUCAUGUUAUCGAAUGCAGUUUCAAGAUAAUAUUUAUACUUGAUGACAUAGUCUUCAUCUUCAAGCAUGUUAAGUAAAGCCUUGCAGUCUUGAAAGUUCUUAAAGGACAUUGCUUGUAAAAUCAGAAUGUUCCAGUCUGGUUCAUUGGUUGAGAUAUUUAAAUUUUCGAAGUAUUCAUUUAGAAAUUCUGUUUUGAAUUUCUCAUGAUCGGAAUUCUUACUAACCACAUAUUGCUUUUCUAAUUCUCCGAUCUCUUCUUCUUUCGUCAAACCGGUAUGACCAUUCCUUUUAUUGUAUACAGGAACACUAAAUGUUGGGAAUAAUUUAUAUACAUCACCCAUGAACUUCACUGUGAAUCCCUGAAUCAUUAAUUGAUCGAGACUCAAGACAUUUCUAUCAAUGUCUGGUGUGUAGAACACACUUUGUACUCGAAUCUUUUCGGAUCCUGUUAUAACAUCAACCACACCGAUUCCUCUAAUAAAGAAAAAAUUGUUUUCCCCCGUCUCCGUUUCAACACAUGACAUAUUUUUCAUACGUUUAAACAUGUCUAUAUUGCCAGAAAAGUGAUGUUUGAAAGUUUUACUAACAUACCAUAUAUCCGACCAGUAUCCACCGUCAAUUCCGAUCACCAUAUAUUCCUGUCUCUGAUUUAUUGACCGCUAAACAUAAUAACUGACUUUCUUCAUCCUUUUCCUUCUAUUGGCAUGCAGAAAUUUUGUGGCCUGGUCUGCUGCAGUAAUAGCAACAUCGCUGCAUCCAUUUUCGUUCACGUUUUUCUUCAGUGCAGUGCAUACAUGGCAUCACGGUUGACGACGGCUUUAAAUCAUCAUCACUAAUAUAACCGGCUCUGAUACCACUUGUUAGCGACAGCCGUUGAUCUUCAUCGUCAUUAUGUUGGGGUUUUGGUGGUUUAACACGAAACAGUGGAUUACUAACAGAAUUGGAAGACAAGAUUAUAACAGUGGGAAUGGAUAAACUUGAAUAGAAAAUGGACAGACAACAACGAAUGUUAUGAAUGUCUUGGUACUAAGGGAUGUUCCCGGCAACAAGUAUAUAUACAUUUGAUAGACAAACAGUUACUAGGUGGUUUGGUUUUGGCGGGAGUAACCGUCAAGUUUGAACCAUUUAACCAACCGUCACAACCGCUGGCCUACAUCGUUACAUACAUACAAAUAUACUGAAACAAUAAUAAUAAUGUAUAAUACAAAUAACUAUUGAAAUAUAAUUAUGUUUAUAUCUAUAUAUAUAACUAAUAAGUCUAAGUUCUCAUCUGAAACUUAAAUUUUAUGUUUUAUUUUAUAUAUUUGAUUUUCGUUUUGUAUUUCAGAGUUGUGAUUUUUGUUUGACAGCAAAAUGAAUAAACGAUGCACACAAAAUAAGAAAUUUUGAAUAAAUAACAGGAAAUGUGUUUCUGUAUUAUAAACCUAAACUUAUAGAAAUAGAAUUGUUAUAAGUGGA
rnacentral:lncRNA from 1 species